UAUGGAGCUUUAGACGCCAGGACAGCCUACGUUAAACACCCCAAAAUAAAGGAAAAAACCAAGUAAAUCCUGUUCUAGUGUCUUUGGUUGGGGCGACCGCGGGGAAAAACUUAACCCCCAUGUGGAGUAAGAGUACUAUACUCUUAGAUCCGAGAGCUCCCGCUCUAAUAAACAGAAUUUCUGACCAACAAGAUCCGGCAGUGCCGAUCAACGGACCGAGUUACCCUA
rnacentral:rRNA from 1 species